UACGGAGGGUGCGAGCGUUGUCCGGAAUCAUUGGGCGUAAAGGGCGCGUAGGUGGCCCGGUCAGUCUUUGGUGAAAGCCCCGGGCUCAACCUGGGAACUGCAACCGAUACUGACGAGCUUGGAGUUUGGAAGAGGGUGGUGGAAUUCCCGGUGUAGCGGUGAAAUGCGUAGAGAUCGGGAGGAACAUCAGUGGCGAAGGCGGCCACCUGGUCCAAAACUGACGCUGAUGCACGAAAGCGUGGGGAGCAAACAGG
rnacentral:rRNA from 1 species